AACGAACGCUGGCGGCAUGCCUAACACAUGCAAGUCGAACGAGACCUUCGGGUCUAGUGGCGCACGGGUGCGUAACGCGUGGGAACCUGCCUUUAGGUUCGGAAUAACUCAGAGAAAUUUGAGCUAAUACCGGAUAAUGUCUUCGGACCAAAGAUUUAUCGCCUUUAGAUGGGCCCGCGUUGGAUUAGCUAGUUGGUGGGGUAAAGCCUACCAAGGCGACGAUCCAUAGCUGGUCUGAGAGGAUGAUCAGCCACACUGGGACUGAGACACGGCCCACGACUCCUACGGGAGGCAGCAGU
rnacentral:rRNA from 1 species